ACUUCGGUAAACCCUGUGGUUAACGGGUGAGGAACACGUGAAGAAUCUGCCCCUCAUUUUGGGAUAACUUCGGGAAACCGAGGCUAAUACCGAAUAUUGAAACAUAAGUGGCAUCACUGAGUUUUGAAAGUUUUUCGAUAAGGGAUGACUUCGCGGCCUAUCAGCUAGUUGGUGAGGUAACGGCUCACCAAGGCAACGACGGGUAGCCGGCCUGAGAGGGCGAACGGCCACACUGGGACUGAGACACGGCCCAGACUCCUACGGGAGGCAGCAGUAGGGAAUAUUGCGCAAUGGAGGAAACUCUGACGCAGCGACGCCGCGUGCGGGAUGAAGGCCUUCGGGUUGUAAACCGCUUUCAGUAGGGAAGAAGCGAAAGUGACGGUACCUACAAAAGAAGCACCGGCUAACUAUGUGCCAGCAGCCGCGGUAAUACAUAGGGUGCAAGCGUUGUCCGGAAUUAUUGGGCGUAAAGAGCUCGUAGGUCGUUUGUUACGUCGGAUGUGAAAAUCUGAGGCUCAACCUCAGACCUGCAUUCGAUACGGGCAAACUAGAGUUUGGUAGGGGAGACUGGAAUUCCUGGUGUAGCGGUGGAAUGCGCAGAUAUCAGGAGGAACACCAACGGCGAAGGCAGGUCUCUGGGCCAAUACUGACACUGAGGAGCGAAAGCGCGGGGAGCGAACAGGAUUAGAUACCCUGGUAGUCCGCGCUGUAAACGGUGGGCACUAGCUGUGGGUCCCUUCCACGGAUUCGCGACGCAGCAAACGCAUUAAGUGCCCCGCCUGGGGAGUACGAUCGCAAGAUUAAAACUCAAAGGAAUUGACGGGGCCCCGCACAAGCAGCGGAGCAUGCGGCUUAAUUCGACGCAACGCGAAGAACCUUACCAAGGCUUGACAUAUAGCGAAAAGUGGCAGAGAUGUCAUGUCCGCAAGGGCGCUAUACAGGUGGUGCAUGGUUGUCGUCAGCUCGUGUCGUGAGAUGUUGGGUUAAGUCCCGCAACGAGCGCAACCCUCGUUCUGUGUUACCAGCAUUCAGUUGGGGACUCACAGGAGACUGCCGGGGUCAACUCGGAGGAAGGUGGGGAUGACGUCAAAUCAUCAUGCCCCUUAUGUCUUGGGCUGCACGCAUGCUACAGUGGCCGGUACAAAGUGCUGCGAGAUCGUAAGAUUGAGCGAAUCACAUAAAGCCGUCUCAGUUCGGAUUGAGGUCUGCAACUCGACCUCAUGAAGUCG
rnacentral:rRNA from 1 species